rnacentral:tRNA from 1 species
GGGGGUGGCUCUGUGGUAGAGUGCUUGCCUAGCAUGCAUGAGGCCCUGGGCUCAAUCUCCAGCAUCCCCC